GAGUUUGAUCAUGGCUCAGAACGUACGCUGGCGGCACGCCUAACACAUGCAAGUCGAACGAAGUAGCAAUACUUAGUGGCAGACGGGUGAGUAACAUGUAGGUAUCUGCCCUUUGGCCUGGAAUAACACGAGGAAACUUGUGCUAAUACCGGAUAAGUCUUUACGGAGAAAGCUUUAUGCACCAUUGGAUGAGCCUGCACUUGAUUAGUUUGUUGGUGGGGUAAUGGCCUACCAAGACUGUGAUCAAUAGCUGAUUUGAGAGGAUGAUCAGCCACAUUGGGACUGAGACACGGCCCAAACUCCUACGGGAGGCAGCAGUGGGGAAUCUUGCACAAUGGAGGAAACUCUGAUGCAGCGAUGCCGCGUGAGUGAAGAAGGCCCUUGGGUUGUAAAGCUCUUUCGUCGGGGAAGAAAAUGACUGUACCCGAAUAAGAAGGUCCGGCUAACUUCGUGCCAGCAGCCGCGGUAAUACGAAGGGACCUAGCGUAGUUCGGAAUUACUGGGCUUAAAGAGUUCGUAGGUGGUUAAAAAAGUUGGUGGUGAAAUCCCAGAGCUUAACUCUGGAACUGCCAUCAAAACUUUUUAGCUAGAGUAUGAUAGAGGAAAGCAGAAUUUCUAGUGUAGAGGUGAAAUUCGUAGAUAUUAGAAAGAAUACCAAUUGCGAAGGCAGCUUUCUGGAUCAUUACUGACACUGAGGAACGAAAGCAUGGGUAGCGAAGAGGAUUAGAUACCCUCGUAGUCCAUGCCGUAAACGAUGUGUGUUAGACGUUGGAAAUUUAUUUUCAGUGUCGCAGCGAAAGCGAUAAACACACCGCCUGGGGAGUACGACCGCAAGGUUAAAACUCAAAUGAAUUGACGGGGACCCGCACAAGUAGUGGAGCAUGUGGUUUAAUUCGAAGAUACGCGCAGAACCUUACCAACACUUGACAUGUUCGUCGCGACUUUAAGAGAUUAAAGUUUUCGGUUCGGCCGGACGAAACACAGGUGCUGCAUGGCUGUCGUCAGCUCGUGUCGUGAGAUGUUGGGUUAAGUCCCGCAACGAGCGCAACCCUCACUUUUAGUUGCCAUCAUUUAGUUGGGCACUCUGAAAGAACUGCCAGUGAUAAGCUGGAGGAAGGUGGGGAUGACGUCAAGUCCUCAUGGCCCUUACGUGUUGGGCUACACACGUGCUACAAUGGUAUCUACAACAGGAAGCAAGACUGCGAAGUUAAGCAAAUCCUUAAAAGAUACCUCAGUUCGGAUUGCACUCUGCAACUCGAGUGCAUGAAGCUGGAAUUACUAGUAAUCGUGGAUCAGCGUGCCACGGUGAAUGCGU
rnacentral:rRNA from 1 species